rnacentral:rRNA from 1 species
AGUCCAGACUCCUACGGGAGGCAGCAGUGGGGGAUAUUGCACAAUGGGGGGAACCCUGAUGCAGCGACGCCGUGUGAACGAAGAAAUAUUUCGGUCUGUAAAGCUCUAUCAGCAGGGAAGAAAGAAAUGACGGUACCUGACUAAGAAGCCCCGGCUAACUACGUGCCAGCAGCCGCGGUAAUACGUAGGGGGCAAGCGUUAUCCGGAUUUACUGGGUGUAAAGGGAGCGUAGACGGCUAUGCAAGUCUGGAGUGAAAGGCGGGGGCCCAACCCCGGGACUGCUCCUGGAACUGCGUGGCUGGAGUGCAGGAGGGGCAGGCGGAAUUCCUGGUGUAGCGGUGAAAUGCGUAGAUAUCAGGAGGAACACCGGUGGCGAAGGCGGCCUGCUGGACUGCAACUGACGUUGAGGCCCGAAAGCGUGGGGAGCAAACAGGAUUAGAUACCCCCGUAUA